UGGGGAAUAUUGCACAAUGGACGGAAGUCUGAUGCAGCAACGCCGCGUGCGGGAUGACGGCCUUCGGGUUGUAAACCGCUUUUUCUCAUGACGAAGUUUUUUGACGGUAGUGGGGGAAGAAGCACCGGCUAACUACGUGCCAGCAGCCGCGGUGAUACGUAGGGUGCGAGCGUUGUCCGGAAUUAUUGGGCGUAAAGAGCUUGUAGGCGGUUUGUCGCCUCGAUAGUGCAAACUCAGUGCUUAACGCUGAGCCUGCUGUUGAUACGGGCAGACUAGAGGAAGGUAGGGGAGAAUGGAAUUCCCGGUGGGGCGGUGGAAUGCGCAGAUAUCGGGAGGAACACCGGUGGCGAAGGCGGUUCUCUGGGCCUUUCCUGACGCUGAGAAGCGAAAGCGUGGGGAGCGAACAGG
rnacentral:rRNA from 1 species